CCAGGCGGAUUGACAGUAUCAGUGAUCAGGUUGUGGGAUGCUAAAAAAGACAUAUAAGCGUCGCAGGACAAGUAAGAUCGGUUGCAAUGAUACCUAGGUUUCCGUCCCGUUUCAGAAGUGGUCCAUGACACCGAUGUCGUUCCUGAGAUCUCAAUCCGGCCAUCGCAAGAUGUGGAUUGUUCUCCUGAGGUUUGUUUUAACCUCAUUACUAUCUGCUACCCUC
rnacentral:sRNA from 1 species